rnacentral:pre_miRNA from 8 species
CUGGCUCUCGCCCGGUGGCCAGAAUUCUCACUGGGGCCUCCAAAUGUUGUAACCAAGCCAGUUACAGAGAAACGCCACACUUUGAGACAAAUUAAGGAGUCCUUUAUUAG